rnacentral:lncRNA from 1 species
UUCUAUUUUUCUCUCAAUCUCUCUUUCCUAUAUAUUUUUUUCUUCUUCCUUACACCUCACACCCAUUUCUCUCUGUUUAUUUGUCUUUCCUCCAAUAGACAGGCGAGAGCUUUUUGCUUUUGGAGAGAAAAACCAAAGGUGGGAAAGGGGUUUACAUUUGCUGACUUUGUCAAUUAAAUUGGUAUCCACCGAACUCUGACUGUGCUAUAGGUAUCUCCCUUUCUCUCUCUCUGUAUCCGUCUAUAUAUCUAUCUAUAACUACUUGAGUUGAUUGAUCUAAGAGUUUGACAAUCCUUUCUUUCGUAAUACUUAAUAGUUGAGCUCUCUUUUAUUUGGUGUAAUGUGGUAGCUAGGUAGUUAUUUGGGUAUGUUUUUGUUUUGGUAGAAUCAUAUGCUAAUGUAAAGUCGUUCCACAAAGGUCUAAUUUGGCACACCAACAAAACCUUACGAUUUUAGGGCAUA